rnacentral:rRNA from 1 species
UAAGGAAUCUUCCGCAAUGGGGGCAACCCUGACGGAGCGACGCCGCGUGGAUGAAGAAGCCUUUCGGGGUGUAAAAUCCUUUUCCCAGGGAGGAGAUGGACCGUACCUGGGGAAGAAGCCACGGCUAACUACGUGCCAGCAGCCGCGGUAAUACGUAGGUGGCGAGCGUUGUCCGGAAUUACUGGGUGUAAAGCGCGUGUAGGUGGCACGCCAAGUCUGCGGUGAAAUCGCCCGGCUCAACUGGGCGGGGUCCGUGGAAACUGGCGGGCUGGAGGACGGUAGAGGUCGGUGGAAUUCCCGGUGUAGUGGUGAAAUGCGUAGAGAUCGGGAGGAACACCCGUGGCGAAGGCGGCCGACUGGGCCGGUCCUGACACUGAGACGCGAAGGCGUGGGGAGCGAACGG